GGAUUAUGACAAUUUUUGUCAACCUAUUUUGUAAAGUCUAAGACAUGUUUCUAUCUUCUUUGCUAUUAUGAAUUUCACAAUGAUGUAGCCAUUUUCCCCUAAGGACCCAGUACUAUACAGACAGUCUAGCCAAUGUGACAAAGAGGCGGAAGUAAAAACUUCCCAUCUUCAGGCAUGAAAAAAUUUUACUGGACAGAGUGACCCUUUUCAGCCCUUAACCUACUUAACAAAUCAUAAAGAUGCUUGGAGUAUUAUAUUUGACUAUCAAUUAUUCUACCAGUAUAUUUCAUGUAAGAAAUCUAAAGGAAUCUGAUCUUGAGCUGGCCUAGAGAGUCAGCCAUGCAGAACAAGAGAAAAGAGAGAGGGUAAGACCUCUUCCAUUGAAGAAACUUAGCCUUGGUCUUCCAGCU
ensembl:lincRNA